AGUAGCAGAGUGCAAUCGGAAAGAGCGCCAGCUACGGCGGAGGACCGUCCAGAGCAGUGUUUUCUCAUGGCUUCGACCCGUUACGACGUACCUCUGGAAUCGUUGGAAAUCCUAAAUCCUGUGGAGUUAUCCGGGCGUUUUGGAUCAAUUUUUGGACAGCGUGAGUUUGAGUGAUCGCCACCUGGCCAACCUUGGGCACGUUUGGGGUUUUUCGAGCUACGGGGAGAGAUUUAUUUUCAUCCUACUUUUUCGUUUGGACAUUCAUAUUUCGCGGUGCAUAUAAUACAUGGGCCCAUGACUUCGGACAUUGACUCUCUCACAUACCGGUUCACUAACCGCCAUACUUCAUCUCUCGCGUACGUCCGUAUCCGCGGAGCGAGCCUCUACGCGGUCGGUUGGCCGCUGCAACGCUUCUACCGUACCCUGGCCUGGAUUGACUGCGGAGCUGAGCCCUUUUAGACUUCGCUACGGAGCUGCCGUCGGCGUAUCCUUCCUCUGCCUGUUAGAGCAAGUCGGGACUCAACAGCUCAGUCAGAUCAGCUAGUGGACUUGCUCGAAGCCGUCUCAGCACAAGAACCAGGAAUCAAGAGAAAGGAAGUCUUUGUCAUUUCUAACUGUACUAACCUCAAUAUAUUAACAGGAAUAAGUAGCAUGGAGAAGGUAACUCCUUUUGUGAUGUAAGCUGAACAAGACAGGCUUCAAUCACAGUUUCGUUUCAGUUGGAAUUCAGUUGAGGUAACAAUUCUUAUUCAGGGCUAAAACUAAGCCUAAGCAUGCUAUAAAUUCUAACAUGCUUAUAUAUAGUUGUUAAUCAUCUCCCAAAACUUGUUAGUGGGAUUUUGGGGAUCAAGAGAAAGAUCAUUUUAGUCUAAAUAUGAACAGUUCAAAAUAUUCAGUAAAAAUCAUUCUAUUUGAUCAUAAUUUGUGUCUUAACAAAACAUAGGUUUUACGUUUUUUGCAGAACAUGUACAUGUUUGUGUGAUUAACUUUCAUCAUAACUUCACAUUAAUAAACAGUUUAUUGCUAAUAUAUGACAGCCUGGUUAUAUGUGCUGUUCAUUUAUAUGAUAUGUGUGAUAACUGUUCUAACCGUUUUAUCUUCUCGUUUUUACAGCAUACAAGAGUUGGAAAUGAUAAGUGACCUAAAUUUUGAUGUCAACUUCAAAAAUAUAUUCACUGUUCACAGGAACCACAGUAUUGUAAGGCAUGGUAUUAUUUAUAGUAUUACUUUUAAUUCCGUUGAUUUCAAAGCUCCUCACACAUUCUAUUACGCAUGUGAUUUAGAGAAUGAUGUGAAAAAACAAACUGAAUUGGUAUACGGUAGUUAAAUAGUAAUGUAGAAUAAAGUAAUAACUGAUUUUUAGUGUUGAUAAGUAGUCAGCAAUCACUUGCAACUGUGAUUGAUUAGUUAUUGAUUAUUAAAUAUGUAUCUGUGCACAAGUCUCCCACGAGUUCUCCUACAUGUAUAUGACUAAUUUGUGAGCGGACCUUCGCUUCCUUUUUCAAUACCUGGAGAAACUCAUUUUUCUGGUGAGCGGAUCUUCCUUUUUUCAAUACCGGGAGAAACUCAUUUUUCUGGUGAGUGGAUCUUCACUUUUCAAUACCGGGAGAAAUGUAGUACGCACGUCUGUGCAACUCAUAAGCUAUAGGCCUAUUGUGAGCAAGUAGCAGAGUGCGAUCGGAAAGAGCGCCAGCUACGGCGGAGGACCGUCCAGAGCAGUGUUUUCUCAUGGCUUCGACCCGUUACGACGUACCUCUGGAAUCGUUGGAAAUCCUAAAUCCUGUCGAGUUAUCCGGGCGUUUUGGAUCAAUUUUUGGACAGCGUGAGUUUGAGUGAUCGCCACCUGGCCAACCUUGGGCACGUUUGGGGUUUUUCGAGCUACGGGGAGAGAUUUAUUUUCAUCCUACUUUUUCGUUUGGACAUUCAUAUUUCGCGGUGCAUAUAAUACAUGGGCCCAUGACUUCGGACAUUGACUCUCACAUACCGGUUCACUAACCGCCAUACUUCAUCUCUCGCGUACGUCCGUAUCCGCGGAGCGAGCCUCUACGCGGUCGGUUGGCCGCUGCAACGCUUCCACCGUACCCUGGCCUGGAUUGACUGCGGAGCUGAGCCCUUUUAGACUUCGCUACGGAGCUGCCGUCGGCGUAUCCUUCCUCUGCCUGUUAGAGCAAGUCGGGACUCAACAGCUCAGUCAGAUCAGCUAGUGGACUUGCUCGAAGCCGUCUCAGCACAAGAACCAGGUGAGACUAGUCAUCUGAGAGCUUAGGUCCUACCACUUCAUCAGUUUAUGCUCACACAGAUUCUUUUUGUAUUCAG
rnacentral:lncRNA from 1 species